GAGGGUGAUAGCCCCGUAUAUGAAAGUGCGUUUAUACUUAGCAGUAUCCUGAGUAGGGCGGGACACGUGAAAUCCUGUCUGAAGCUGGGGAGACCACUCUCCAACCCUAAAUACUACUACUAGACCGAUAGUGCACAAGUACCGUGAGGGAAAGGUGAAAAGAACUGAGGUGAUCAGAGUGAAAUAGAACCUGAAACCAUUUGCUUACAAUCAUUCAGAGCACGAUUCUUUAUGACGUGUGAUGGACUGCCUUUUGCAUAAUGAGCCUGCGAGUUGUGGU
rnacentral:rRNA from 1 species